GAUGAAGAACGUAGCGAAAUGCGAUACUUGGUGUGAAUGGCAGAAUCCCGUGAACCAUCGAGUCUUUGAACGCAAGUUGCGCCCGAAGCCAUUAGGCCGAGGGCACGCCUGCCUGGGUGUCACACGUCGUUGCCCCCCCAUCUACUCCUUCGGGAUUGCGGGGGGCGGAUGAUGGCCUCCCGUGCGCCUCGUCGCGCGGUUGGCAUAAAUGCCAAGUCCUCGGCGACGCACGCCACGACAAUCGGUGGUUGCGAAACCUCGGUUGCCCGUCGUGUGCGGUCGUCGCGCAUCGAGGGCUCGAAAAAAUUGCCGGGCUCCGGCUCGGCUUUCAACGCGACCCCAGGUCAGGCGGGGUUACCCGCUGAAUUUAAGCAUAUCAAUAAGCGGAGGA
rnacentral:misc_RNA from 1 species